rnacentral:rRNA from 1 species
UACGGAGGUGGCAAGCGUUAUCCGGAUUCACUGGGUUUAAAGCGCGCGCAGGCGGUCUUCCAAGUCAGUGGUGAAAGCCCGGAGCUCAACUCCGGACUGCCAUUGAACUGUAAGACUUGAGGAUGAGAGAGGUGAGUGGAAUUCCGGUGUAGCGGUGAAUGCGCAGAUAUCGGAGGACACCAAUGCGAGGCAGCUCGCUGGACGUCGACUGACGCUGAGACGCGAAGCGUGGAGCAACAGG